GAGAGCAGAAACUUGUGGGGCCUGCACCGGAGCUCACCUUCUUACGGUGGUCUUUAUUACCAUGCCGCUGUAUGAAGGCCUAGGGAGCGGCGGGGAGAAAACGGCAGUCGUGGUAGACCUGGGAGAGGCUUUUACCAAGUGUGGAUUUGCUGGAGAAACUGGUCCAAGAUGCAUAAUUCCUAGUGUGAUUAAAAAAGCUGGUCUGCCUAAGCCUAUCAAAGUUGUUCAAUAUAAUAUCAAUACAGAAGAAUUGUAUUCCUACCUAAAGGAAUUCAUCCACAUACUGUAUUUCAGGUACCUGUUGGUGAACCCUAGAGACCGCCGGGUUGUGGUUAUCGAGUCAGUGCUGUGUCCUUCCCACUUCAGAGAGACACUCACCCGGGUUCUUUUCAAGUAUUUUGAGGUUCCAUCUGUCCUGCUUGCUCCAAGUCAUCUAAUGGCUCUUCUGACACUUGGGAUAAACUCUGCUAUGGUCCUGGAUUGCGGAUAUAGGGAGAGCCUGGUGUUACCUAUAUAUGAAGGAAUCCCAGUACUAAAUUGUUGGGGAGCACUCUUCCUAGGAGGAAAAGCUCUUCACAAGGAGUUGGAAACUCAGCUACUGGAGCAGUGUACUGUUGACACAGGUGCUGCUAAAGAACAGAGCCUUCCCUCUGUGAUGGGUUCAAUUCCAGAAGGUGUUUUAGAGGACAUUAAAGUGCGCACUUGCUUUGUAAGUGAUCUGAAACGUGGAUUAAAAAUCCAAGCAGCAAAAUUUAAUAUUGAUGGGAAUACUGAGCGUCCCUCACCACCUCCAAAUGUUGACUACCCAUUAGAUGGAGAGAAGAUUUUACAUGUUCUUGGAUCAAUCAGAGAUUCAGUUGUGGAGAUUCUUUUUGAACAAGAUAAUGAAGAGAAAUCAGUUGCCACUUUAAUACUGGAUUCCCUUAUACAGUGCCCAAUAGACACCAGAAAGCAACUAGCAGAGAAUUUGGUAGUCAUAGGUGGCACAUCUAUGUUGCCAGGAUUUCUCCACAGAUUGCUUGCAGAAAUAAGGUAUUUGGUAGAAAAACCAAAAUAUAAAAUAGCACUUGGCACCAAGACAUUCCGAAUUCAUACUCCACCUGCAAAGGCUAAUUGUGUGGCCUGGUUGGGAGGAGCUAUUUUUGGGGCACUGCAGGACAUACUUGGGAGCCGUUCAGUCUCAAAGGAGUAUUAUAAUCAGACAGGCCGUAUACCUGAUUGGUGUUCUCUUAAUAACCCACCUUUGGAAAUGAUGUUUGAUGUCGGGAAAGCUCAGCCACCACUGAUGAAGAGAGCCUUUUCCACUGAGAAAUAAAAUUUGAUUGAAAUUCAGCUUUGCUUUGUAUCAAGUAAUCAAUUACAAGCAAAUUGUACAAAGUAUACAGGAUGCUGUUAGAGAUGAUUUUAUGGAAGUGAAAGCAUUUCUGUAGUUACUCUUUGCAUUAAUAUUUAAUUCUUUUGACUGUUGUAGUAAAACAGUAGCUGAUGCUUAUGAAAUUUGUGGUAUUUAUAUCAAUAAAAUAUAGUAAAGCAG